rnacentral:rRNA from 1 species
GACGAACGCUGGCGGCGUGCUUAACACAUGCAAGUCGAACGGAAAGGCCCCUUCGGGGGUACUCGAGUGGCGAACGGGUGGGUAACACGUGGGUGAUCUGCCCUGCACUUCGGGAUAAGCCUGGGAAACUGGGUCUAAUACCGGAUAGGACCACGGGAUGCAUGUCCUGUGGUGGAAAGCUUUUGCGGUGUGGGAUGGGCCCGCGGCCUAUCAGCUUGUUGGUGGGGUGACGGCCUACCAAGGCGACGACGGGUAGCCGGCCUGAGAGGGUGUCCGGCCACACUGGGACUGAGAUACGGCCCAGACUCCUACGGGAGGCAGCAGUGGGGAAUAUUGCACAAUGGGCGCAAGCCUGAUGCAGCGACGCCGCGUGGGGGAUGACGGCCUUCGGGUUGUAAACCUCUUUCAGCAGGGACGAAGCGCAAGUGACGGUACCUGCAGAAGAAGCACCGGCCAACUACGUGCCAGCAGCCGCGGUAAUACGUAGGGUGCGAGCGUUGUCCGGAAUUACUGGGCGUAAAGAGCUCGUAGGUGGUUUGUCGCGUUGUUCGUGAAAACCGGGGGCUUAACCCUCGGCGUGCGGGCGAUACGGGCAGACUGGAGUACUGCAGGGGAGACUGGAAUUCCUGGUGUAGCGGUGGAAUGCGCAGAUAUCAGGAGGAACACCGGUGGCGAAGGCGGGUCUCUGGGCAGUAACUGACGCUGAGGAGCGAAAGCGUGGGGAGCGAACAGGAUUAGAUACCCUGGUAGUCCACGCCGUAAACGGUGGGUACUAGGUGUGGGUUUCCUUCCUUGGGAUCCGUGCCGUAGCUAACGCAUUAAGUACCCCGCCUGGGGAGUACGGCCGCAAGGCUAAAACUCAAAGGAAUUGACGGGGGCCCGCACAAGCGGCGGAGCAUGUGGAUUAAUUCGAUGCAACGCGAAGAACCUUACCUGGGUUUGACAUGCACAGGACGCCGGCAGAGAUGUCGGUUCCCUUGUGGCCUGUGUGCAGGUGGUGCAUGGCUGUCGUCAGCUCGUGUCGUGAGAUGUUGGGUUAAGUCCCGCAACGAGCGCAACCCUUGUCUCAUGUUGCCAGCGGGUAAUGCCGGGGACUCGUGAGAGACUGCCGGGGUCAACUCGGAGGAAGGUGGGGAUGACGUCAAGUCAUCAUGCCCCUUAUGUCCAGGGCUUCACACAUGCUACAAUGGCCGGUACAAAGGGCUGCGAUGCCGCGAGGCUUAGCGAAUCCUUUUAAAGCCGGUCUCAGUUCGGAUCGGGGUCUGCAACUCGACCCCGUGAAGUCGGAGUCGCUAGUAAUCGCAGAUCAGCAACGCUGCGGUGAAUACGUUCCCGGGCCU